GACGAAGGUGGCGAGCGUUGUUCGGAAUCACUGGGCAUAAAGCGCACGUAGGCGGCGACGUAAGUUGGGUGUGAAAUCCCUCGGCCCAACCGAGGAACUGCGCCCAGUACUGCGUUGCUUGAGGAUCCAAGGGGUGCAUGGAAUUCCCGGUGGAGCGGUGAAAUGCGUUGAUAUCGGGAGGAACUCCGGCGGCGAAGGCGGCCUUCUGGACCAAUACUGACGCUCAUGCACGAAAGCGUGGGGAGCAAACAGG
rnacentral:rRNA from 1 species